GAUGAACGCUGGCGGCGUGCUUAACACAUGCAAGUCGAACGAUGAUCCGGGUGCUUGCACUCGGGGAUUAGUGGCGAACGGGUGAGUAACACGUGAGCAACCUGCCCCUGACUCUGGGAUAAGCGCUGGAAACGGCGUCUAAUACUGGAUAUGUCCCGUCACCGCAUGGUGUGCGGGUGGAAAGAUUUUUCGGUUGGGGAUGGGCUCGCGGCCUAUCAGCUUGUUGGUGAGGUAAUGGCUCACCAAGGCGUCGACGGGUAGCCGGCCUGGGAGGGUGACCGGCCACACUGGGACUGAGACACGGCCCAGACUCCUACGGGAGGCAGCAGUGGGGAAUAUUGCACAAUGGGCGGAAGCCUGAUGCAGCAACGCCGCGUGAGGGAUGACGGCCUUCGGGUUGUAAACCUCUUUUAGCAGGGAAGAAGCGAGAGUGACGGUACCUGCAGAAAAAGCACCGGCUAACUACGUGCCAGCCGCCGCCGUAACAC
rnacentral:rRNA from 1 species